rnacentral:rRNA from 1 species
UACAGAGGUCCCGAGCGUUGUUCGGAUUCACUGGGCGUAAAGGGUGCGUAGGUGGCAUGGUAAGUUUGAUGUGAAAGCUUAGGGCUCAACCCUGAAAUGGCAUUGAAUACUACUGUGCUGGAGGUUUGGAGGGGGGACUGGAAUUCUUGGUGUAGCAGUGAAAUGCGUAGAUAUCAAGAGGAACACCAGUGGCGAAGGCGAGUCCCUGGACAACACCUGACACUGAGGCACGAAAGCUAGGGGAGCAAACAGG